CGAAACUCAGGCAGCAAAUCCUCACCUGGAAGCAAUGAUGCUAACUUAAACAAUGCUUUUAAAUGAACCUUGGAUCUGGUCAGCAACAUUGAUUUGGUUUUGACUGAUCAAAAAAACCUUUGACUGACUCAAAAAACCUUCCAUCUUCUCGGUAUUUUCCACUUUCACUGUCUACACUGUCCUGCCCUGCAUAAAUCUUAUUUAAAAGCUAAUUUCAACACAGCAUGUGCACUUAGUGUACACUGAUCAGUGAUGAGUCAUGUUCAGCUUGAUAAGGAAAUGAAUGAAAGCCCUUACAAUUUAAAAAGACUCAGUGUUCCCAUGGCUAGACCACACAGGAAAGCUGUGUUGGAAAGCUCUAAUUUCCAAUUUCCAAGUCCCUCUAUUGUUUCUGUCAGGUGGACCUGUUUUCCUUGCAAAACGUCAAGCAAUUUUCCUAUAUUUCAGCAAUAUGCUCUGCAGACACUGGAGUUUUUCAGUUCCCUAUUCAGGUCAAAGAGAUUUCAUAAGGUCUGUAGCUAGUGUACACAAGUCUGAAAAGGAAUAAUCAGUUAUCUCAGCAUCUCAGGAAUAGGCAAGGCUCUGUCAAGACUCUUCCUCUGUGUUACAAGUACCCAUGUGCUCUUGUAAGACCUUGUGCCAGAGUACGCUGUAACUUGCAAGAAGACAUUAAACUGGAAAAUAAAAUGUCGUCCCACUUCCAGUGCUGAAGAAGCAGCUUUCAGAUUCCAAGCUGCAGAUGGUGGUCCUGUGCAACUGGUGACAACGAAUACCAGCAGACUUCUGAAUCAGGUUUGCCAGCAGUGUAUGACAGUGUUGUGUCCAUGUGUGCUGUUGUACAUCAAUGGGAAGGACUCAAGAACUUACAGAUGUGCCAUCCUGCCACUCCUGGGGCUCCACAGAAACUGGGCUGAAUGCAAAAACUCCCACAGAACUCGGUCUUUCAGGCUGGCCAUAUGAGAUCCUGUGGGCAUCCACCAUGACUGCAGUCAAGAACACUACGCAAGUCAAGAACAAAGAGCUGGAAAUAGCAGCCCUCCGUAUCCGCAGCACGGAGGAAGGGGCGCUGUGCCCGGGCACAGCGCAGCCGUGGCACCCGUGGGUUCGGUCCCUCGCUGCUUGCGCUGCCAGCAGAGCCUCGGAUCCCCCUCAGCCUGUCUGGGCUCGGUGCGUAUUGGAAUUUCAUCUCCCCAGUCUGCUCCUGCAGACUUUUUUUUUUUUUAAUUCAUGUGGAAAAAAAAUAAUAAUGAGAGGGUAAAAUAAGCGGAGCGAGAGCGAGCAUCAAUAGCCCCAGCCCGUAGGCUCAGCGCCUUCCUGCAGAGCUCCCGCAGCAGGGCCCCGCUCAGCCCCGGCGCUGCCGCAGGGCCCCGGGCAGGGGCAGCACCCAGGGGUGCUGGGCGGGGGCUGAGCCCCGCUCCCUGCCCCGAGCCUUAGGGCCACGGCCGGGGGCGCUGGCACAGCCCCG
rnacentral:lncRNA from 1 species